rnacentral:rRNA from 1 species
AACGAACGCUAGCGGGAUGCUUUACACAUGCAAGUCGAACGAGUGGCGGACGGGUGAGUAAUAUAUCGGAACGUGCCCAGUAGCGGGGGAUAACUACUCGAAAGAGUGGCUAAUACUGCACACUACGGGAGCGGCUGAAAGCGGAUUAGCUAGUAGGUGGGGUAAAGGCUCACCAAGGCAACGAUCCGUAGCUGGUCUGAGAGGACGACCAGCCACACUGGGACUGAGACACGGCCCAGACUCCUACGGGAGGCAGCAGUGGGGAAUUUUGGACAAUGGGGGAAACCCUGAUCCAGCCAUCCCGCGUGUAUGAGAAGGCCUUCGGGUUGUAAAAUACUUUUGGCAGAGAAGCGGUAUCUACCGAGUAAGCACCGGCUAACUACGUGCCAGCAGCCGCGGUAAUAC